rnacentral:rRNA from 1 species
CCUACGGGAGGCAGCAGUGGGGAAUAUUGCACAAUGGGGGAAACCCUGAUGCAGCAACGCCGCGUGAGUGAAGAAGGUUUUCGGAUUGUAAAGCUCUGUUAGCAGGGAAGAGGAAGGACGGUACCUGCAGAGGAAGCCACGGCUAACUACGUGCCAGCAGCCGCGGUAAUACGUAGGUGGCAAGCGUUGUUCGGAAUAACUGGGCGUAAAGGGAGCGUAGACGGCCAGACAAGUCUGAAGUGAAAAUCCAGCGCUUAACGUUGGAAGUGCUUUGGAAACUGCCGGGCUGGAGUGCAGGAGGGGCA